AGCCACCCUUUAAAGAAAGCGUAACAGCUCGUUGAUCCAGUUUUGUCGCGCUGAAAAUGUAUAGAGACUCAAAAUAUUAACCGAAACGGCGAAUUUUAAAUGAAAAUGGUAGCGGAACGUUCUGUAUUUUUUAGAAGGCAAGUUGUAAAAUUUGCUGGAGAAAUCAGAAGCGAGUAUACUGGCAUGAGUAGCGAUAAAUAAUGUGAAAAACAUUAUCACCGUAAAUCCAAGGGUUUCGUAGCACGGCUAAUCCGCUACGAUAAAAUUGUAAAAUUUUACAAAAAGACGGCCUCUAAGAAAUGUUAAGCGAAAGCUUGCUUCAAUGAGUAAUAUUUGUAUUUUUCUUAAAGUAUGUGACGGAGUUUAAAGCUUAUUAAAUUUAUUUAGUUUGUAAAAAUUUCCAAGAAAUAGCUGCUUUAUUAAAAAACCGUACUGAAUCCGACACAGGUGGAUAGGUUGAGUAAACUAAGGUGCUUGAACGAACUUUGUUGAAGGAACUCGGCAAAAUAACCCCGUAACUUCGGGAGAAGGGGUGACUUUUUCGGGGCAACCCGUAAAAGUUGACACAAAAAUGGAGGUAGCGACUGUUUAAUAAAAACACAGGUUUCUGCUAAUUUGUAAAAAGAUGUAUAGAAACUGACACCUGCCCGGUGCUGCAAGGUAAAUAAAUUAUUGUUUUGGCUUUAAUUUUAAACCCCAGUAAACGGCGGCGGUAACUCUGACCGUCCAAAGGUAGCGAAAUUCUUUGUCGGGUAAGUUCCGACCUGCAUGAAUGGUGUAACGACUUCCUUACUGUCUCCAACAAAGCUUCAGUGAAAUUGAAAUUCCUGUGAAGAUGCAGGUUAUACGCAGCAAGACGGAAAGACCCCGUGCACUUUUACUAUAAGCAUACACCGCGAUCAGUUUUAAAUUGUGUAGAUAUAAGUGGGAGUUGUUUGAAACUUUUACGUAAGUAAAUUGUUUAGGCGCUAGUGAAAUACCACUCUUUUUUCAAUUAUUCGCUCACUUCAAAUGAAGGACUCUGUAUGCUUGGUAGUUUCGCUGGGGCGGCGACCUCCUAAAAAGUAACGGAGGUGCGCAAAGGUAAACUUAAAUAAUUAAAAUUAUUUUUAAGCGUAAUAGUAAUGUUUGCCUGACUGUAAGAUUGAUAAAUCGCGCAGAGACGAAAGUCGGUUAUAUUGAUCCGGUGGUUUUUAGUGGAAAAGCCAUCGCCAACAAAUAAAAAGUACGCCGGGGAUAACAGGCUGAUGCCUCCCUAGAGCUCUUA
rnacentral:rRNA from 1 species